AGCUACCACCCACUGCACAGCAACCCAAUUAGGCAAGCAGCUGAAAGGCCAACUUUUCACACAUGAGUACUCCAGAAUAAAGAGAGCAUGGAGCUAACCAAACAGUUGGGGGGACCCCAUCCCAGAAGACAUUUACAAGAUAAUGAGUGACAGCUCGGUGCGCUCCAGGAGUGACCUCCAGCGUGCCCUGCAGAUAGACUCCGUAGAAGAGGAUGGCUCCAAUUUGGACCUGAACUCAACGCGAGCCCAUCCUGGUCAAAACUUGCCUCGAGGGAGACGAAGUCUAG
rnacentral:lncRNA from 1 species